AGUGAACGCUGGCGGUAGGCCUAACACAUGCAAGUCGAACGGCAGCACAGUAAGAGCUUGCUCUUACGGGUGGCGAGUGGCGGACGGGUGAGGAAUACAUCGGAAUCUACUUUUUCGUGGGGGAUAACGUAGGGAAACUUACGCUAAUACCGCAUACGACCUACGGGUGAAAGCAGGGGAUCUUCGGACCUUGCGCGAUUGAAUGAGCCGAUGUCGGAUUAGCUAGUUGGCGGGGUAAAGGCCCACCAAGGCGACGAUCCGUAGCUGGUCUGAGAGGAUGAUCAGCCACACUGGAACUGAGACACGGUCCAGACUCCUACGGGAGGCAGCAGUGGGGAAUAUUGGACAAAGGGCGAAAGCCUGAUCCAGCCAUGCCGCGUGGGUGAAGAAGGCCUUCGGGUUGUAAAGCCCUUUUGUUGGGAAAGAAAAGCAGCAGGUUAAUACCCCGCUGUUCUGACGGUACCCAAAGAAUAAGCACCGGCUAACUUCGUG
rnacentral:rRNA from 1 species